rnacentral:rRNA from 1 species
UACAGACGGCGCAAGCGUUAUCCGGAAUGAUUGGGCGUAAAGCGUCUGUAGGUGGUUCCCGAAGUCUACUGUCAAAUCCCAGGGCUCAACCUUGGACAGGCAGUGGAGAACUCGGGGGCUAGAGUACGGUAGGGGUAGAGGGAAUUCCCGGUGAAGCAGUGAAAUGCACAGAGAUCGGGAAGAGCACCAGUGGCGAAGGCGCUCUACUAGGCCGUGACUGACACUGAGAGACGAUAGCUAGGGGAGCGAAUAGG